AUCCUUUUGUCGUUCAUAAGUGUGAUGAUUGGGUGUUCACACACAUGCAUGACGUGCCUCCCUCAAACCUUGUUAUACACUGGCACAUUACCCAUCUGACG